rnacentral:lncRNA from 1 species
UGAAAACAUUCCUACAAGUUGUGUAAAGCAGUUCCAUUCAUCUACAUGAACACCGGCAGCUGGGAACAUCAGAAAGGAACACACAGAAGAAGAAUAUUUCUCACUCCAUAGGAUGCUUUUGAUGGUAGGACUGUAGCAACCAUACUGGACGAUACUGGGACAAGUUAAAAAUGCCUUGCAUUUUGAUUUUGUGUUACAUGAAAUGAUGUCAGCACCUCUUUGGGAUUUGGACUCUUAAAACUCAUGAUCACUCAGAAUAGAAUCAUACUACUGGUAUCUCCUAAGCUAUUCAGUGAUCAGCUAUUGGCUUAUGAAAAUUGAAUCCGUCUAUGAAACUCCUACAAAAUUAUUACUCCCUUAUUACUACUACCUAGCAAACACAAUUUGUUUUUAGGUUUUCAAGUCUAUACUUUAAGGUAAUACCAGAGUAUUUUUUCUCCAAAUGAAGUCAUAUGAACAAGUGGUGGAUUGCUAAGGAAUUUGUACAUAACAAAUACAUUAAUAGAAUUUACGAAGAUAAAUAUAGGUAAAGAUUUCUAGUAACAACGACAGAAUCAAUUCAAAUCAAAGAGCUGAUUGAGAUUAUUAACUUACUAGACUACAAAUAACUCUAAUUUUUUGCUUAUAUACGGAAGUAUAUGUUUAUUCUCAUUUUCAAUGAAAACAUUCAGAUGCUACUGAAAUUGAUAAGUUAUACCUAAACCAAUAUCCAAUAAACACUAUAAAAUUUUAAAUUUAGGAGAUCUAAAGCCUUACUGAUUUCAUUAUUUUGCUAGUACAUCUAUGUACAUAUCAUUUUUCUUAUAUAAAUUUAGUUUUGUACUUACUGUGUUGUUAUAAAUUUCUCCCAAACCUUAUAAAAUCUAGAUGAAAUUGCAACUAUUCUACUUGCAACAGAAAUGGCAUCUAAGAAGUUAUAAAUCCUCUGCCAGGCGCGAAUAUAAAUCUAGGCAGUUAUAAAUCCUCUGGCUCUCACCUGUAAUCCCUGCACUUUGGGAGGCUGAGGUGGGUGGAUGCCUGAUGUCAGGAGAUCGAGACCAGCCUGACCAACAUGGUGAAACCCCAUCUCUACAAAAAAUACUAAAAUUAGCCUGGCGUGGUGGCGGGUGCCUGUAAUCCCAGCUACUCGGGAAGCUGAGGCAGGAGAAUCACUUGAACUUGGGAGGCAGAGGUUGCAGAGAGCUGAGCUGGUGCCACUGCACUCCAGGCUGG